AUGCAGCAAGGAUGGAGUAAUACCAUUCGAAAGGCGAAACGUCAGGGCAUUUCACAAACAGAUUCUGGUGAGGAAUAUGAAGUAGGAAUGCACCACGAGGAGGACAUAGACGAGCAGCAGCAGGUGGUGCGCGUACCAGAAGGCGUUGAAGCCGGCCAGGUGGUGCAGCGGCGACGGCAGCUUGACGACGCUCCGCCUGAAGGUGUGCAUGGCCAGCGUGAAGGAGAAGGUCAUGAUGAUGAUCAUGAGGAUGCCGGUGACCCCUGGGGCGCUGGCCAGCAGGUCCGGGUACGUCGGCUGCCUGAAGCCGAAGUUGGGGCCCAGCAGGGCCAUGAACUUGUCGCUCGGGCAGGAGAUGAGCCUGGGGAAGUCGCAGGUGACGUGGGCGAGCGUGUGCACCACGGUGCCGACGGCGAUGGCGCCGGCGAGCACCUUGUGGAAGUUGAUGUUGUCGUCGAAGGGGAUGACGUGGCUGAGCGCGGUGGAGCGGAGGGUGGUGAGCGUGUUGCGGCAGACGGGCAGCAGGAUGAGCGCCAUGUUGAGCUUGAGCGUCUCGGCGGCGCCCUUGGCGACGCAGACGCAGUUUCCCAUGACCUGGAAGGAGGACCGGUGCUUGUACUGCUCGAACUUGUAGACGAAGAGGGCGAGGUUGGCGGCCAGCCAGAGCGUCACCAGCCAUAUCCGCUUCCAGUUCUCGUGGAUGAAGUCCAUGGUCCUGGUGACGUGCCGCUUCAGCGGGCUCCGGUACCGCAUCGGGAUCAUCGUCCUCGCCAGGCUCGACGUCGUCCGCUUCAGCUUCACCUCCGGCGCCUGCGCGCUCACCAUCCCGCGGAGCAAAGUCUCCAGCUGCCAAAUCUGCAUUGGAGGUUUGGAGGUCAGCGACUCGCGCCCUCUGAAGUUACUUUCGACAUGGCGACCACUACUAGUAGUCUAUUAUUACUGCCGUACCUCGAUGUAGCCGCGGUCGUCGGGGUCGAGCUCCUCCAUGAUCAGCGACGAGUAGGUCGCGGCGUGGCUCUUGAGCUUGGCCAGCUUGUUCGCCGACGCGCUCAAUAUAAUAACCUGUCAGCAGCGAAUAAAAACAACAGGUUGAUUGUUCAUUUCUCAUUGUUUCAGAAUACAGUAGAUCCCAUCGAGCAAAAGAAAAUCCCCACCUCCUUGACCUCAUCUUCCGUGAGCAUCCCAUCGCCGUUCUUGUCGCACCUGUUCGUGCCAAAUUUCAUCCAUCAGCAGGUUCGGUUAAUGAGCUCCAACGUUGAUGCUAAAAUCAGACUGAACCUAUAG
rnacentral:rRNA from 1 species